UACGAAGGGAGCUAGCGUUGUUCGGAAUUACUGGGCGUAAAGGGCGCGUAGGCGGCUUUGUAAGUCAGAUGUGAAAGCCCCGGGCUUAACCUGGGAACUGCAUUUGAUACUGCGAGGCUAGAGGAUGAGAGAGGAAAGUGGAAUUACGAGUGUAGAGGUGAAAUUCGUAGAUAUUCGUAAGAACACCAGUGGCGAAGGCGGCUCACUGGACCGGCAUUGGCGCUGAUGUGCGAAAGCGUGGGGAGCAAACAGG
rnacentral:rRNA from 1 species